GAUUUUGGAAGCAGAGGCAUUGUGUUAAUAUUGCUACUAACGUUCAAAAUACAGCCUAGCAUGUAAUGAUCUUUUUAUAAUUAUCUGUUCAAUCCUGGAUGAAUUAAGGGCCUACUCUAUGCAAAGUUACGGUAUGCUGAGCCGCUCGCCAGGGGAAGAAGUCCCCUUCUUGGGGAAACACUUUCACUAGAAGCUGAGACUUGCCCCCCCCCCAAGUCUUCCACCCGCCAGGGGCCGCUGUAGGAAACACUAGGCGUCCUUUCGAACGUCACUCUUUGACCCCGCGAAGCCGUUGCCCGGAGCUAAGAUGGCGGUGGCGUUGGCUGCCGCAGCCGGUAAGCUGCGGCGAGCCAUUGGGAGGUCGUGCCCAUGGCAGCCUUUCUCAACCGAGCCCGGUCCACCCCACGGAGCGGCCGUGCGGGACGCCUUCCUGAGCUUCUUCCGAGAUCGCCACGGCCACCGGCUCGUGCCCUCCGCUACCGUGAGGCCGCGCGGCGACCCCAGCCUGCUUUUCGUCAAUGCAGGCAUGAACCAGUUCAAGCCCAUCUUCCUGGGCACAGUGGAUCCACGAAGUGAGAUGGCAGGCUUCCGACGUGUAGUUAAUAGCCAGAAGUGUGUCAGGGCUGGAGGACGCCAUAACGACCUGGAGGAUGUGGGGCGUGAUCUCUCUCAUCAUACGUUUUUCGAGAUGCUUGGCAACUGGGCUUUCGGGGGUGAAUAUUUUAAGGAGGAAGCUUGUAGCAUGGCCUGGGAACUUCUGACUCAAGUCUACGGGAUCCCUGAGGACAGGUUGUGGGUCUCCUACUUCAGUGGUGACUCCCAGACAGGACUGGACCCAGACCUGGAGACCAGAGACAUCUGGCUAAGCUUGGGAGUGCCUGCCAGCCGUGUGCUCUCCUUCGGACCACAAGAGAACUUCUGGGAGAUGGGAGACACUGGGCCUUGUGGGCCUUGUACUGAGAUCCACUAUGACCUGGCUGGGGGCGUGGGAAGCCCCCAGCUGGUAGAGCUUUGGAAUCUGGUCUUCAUGCAACACUACAGAGAGGCAGAUGGAAGCCUGCAGCUGCUGCCGCAGCGACAUGUAGACACAGGAAUGGGCCUGGAAAGGCUGGUGGCCGUCCUGCAAGGCAAACGUUCCACCUACGACACCGACCUCUUCUCUCCACUGCUCGACGCCAUACACCAGAGCUGCGGGGCUCCCCCUUACUCUGGCCGGGUAGGGGCAGCAGAUGAGGGACGGAUAGACACAGCGUACCGAGUGGUAGCCGAUCACAUCCGCACACUCAGUGUCUGCAUUGCUGACGGUGUCUCCCCGGGGAUGUCAGGUGCCCCGCUAGUUCUCCGUCGGAUUCUCCGCCGAGCUGUGCGCUAUUCCACAGAGGUCUUGCAGGCACCUCCUGGCUUUCUAGGCAGCCUGGUGCCAGUGGUGGUAGAGACACUGGGAUCUGCUUAUCCAGAACUUGAGAAGAACUCAGUCAAGAUAGCCAGCCUGGUGUCAGAGGAUGAGGCAGCCUUCCUGGCCUCCCUGCAGCGGGGCCGGCGGAUCAUCGAUCGCACCGUCAAGCGCCUGGGCCCUUCUGAUUUGUUCCCUGCCGAAGUGGCCUGGUCAUUGUCGCUGUCUGGGAAUCUGGGGAUUCCCCUGGACCUGGUGGAGCUGAUGCUGGAGGAGAAGGGGGUGAAGCUGGACACGGCAGGACUGGAGCAGCUAGCCCAGAAGGAGGCUCAGCACCGGGCCCAGCAAGCAGAGGCAGAUCAGGAGGACCGAUUGUGUCUUGAUGUCCACGCACUGGAGGAGCUGCACCGUCAAGGCAUACCCACAACUGAUGACAGCCCCAAGUAUAACUACACUCUUCACCCCAACGGGGAUUAUGAGUUUGGCCUCUGUGAGGCCCGGGUGUUACAGCUGUAUUCAGAGACUGGGACAGCCGUGGCCUCCGUGGGAGCAGGCCAGCGCUGUGGCCUCCUAUUAGAUAGAACCAACUUCUACGCUGAACAAGGGGGUCAGGCUUCAGACCGAGGCUACCUUGUCCGUACAGGGCAGCAGGACAUGUUGUUCCCUGUGGCUGGGGCUCAGCUCUGUGGGGGUUUUAUCCUGCAUGAGGCCAUGGCUCCCGAGCGCCUACAGGUGGGGGAUCAAGUGCAGCUGUAUGUAGAUAAGCGUUCUAGGCCUGGCGAAUGGGAUGCAUGGUGAAGCACACGGCCACCCACCUGCUGAGCUGGGCCCUUCGGCAGACCCUCGGACCGACCACCGAGCAGCGGGGCUCCCAUCUCAACCCCGAGCGGCUGCGCUUUGACGUGGCCACCCAGACCCUACUAACCACAGAGCAGCUACGGACAGUAGAGAGCUACGUGCAGGAAGUCGUGGGGCAGGAUAAGCCUGUGUUCAUGGAGGAAGUGCCCCUGGCACACACUGCCCGCAUCCCCGGCCUUCGCUCACUGGAUGAGGUGUACCCAGACCCCGUCCGGGUGGUGUCCGUUGGGGUUCCUGUUGCCCACGCACUGGGGCCAGCCUCCCAGGCUGCAAUGCACACCUCCGUGGAGCUGUGCUGUGGGACGCACCUGCUAAGUACCGGGGCCGUGGGAGACUUGGUGAUCAUUGGGGAACGGCAGCUGGUCAAGGGCAUCACUCGCCUACUGGCCAUCACUGGGGAGCAGGCCCAACAGGCCCGAGAGGUAGGCCAGAGCCUGUCUCAGGAGGUGGAAGCAGCCAGCGAGCGACUAAGUCAGGGCAGCCGAGACCUGCCGGAAGCUCACCGGCUAUCUAAGGACAUAGGACGUCUCACCGAGGUAGCAGAGUCUGCUGUGAUACCUCAGUGGCAACGGCAGGAGCUGCAGACCACACUGAAGAUGCUACAGCGCCGUGCCAACACUGCCAUCCGGAAACUGGAGAAGGGCCAGGCUACAGAGAAAUCCCAGGAGCUGUUGAAACGACACUCGGAGGGGCCUCUGAUUGUGGACACUGUCUCUGCCGAGUCCCUCUCAGUGCUGGUAAAGGUCGUGCGGCAGCUGUGCAAACAGGCCCCUAGCAUAUCCGUGCUGCUGCUCAGCCCCCAGCCCACUGGCAGUGUCCUGUGUGCCUGCCAGGUGGCCCAGGAUGCCACGCCCACCUUCACUGCUGAAGCCUGGGCACUGGCUGUGUGCAGCCACAUGGGAGGCAAGGCGUGGGGCUCCAGAGUGGUAGCUCAGGGGACUGGACACACGGCUGACCUGGAGGCCGCCCUCGGGACAGCCCGAGCUUACGCACUCAGCCAGCUCUGACGAGGACCACCCAGGACACAGAGGAACAAGAGGCAGGCAAGCAUCUGGAGCCCUCAUGAAACCACAGAGCUUUCCUGGAGGCUGAGGCAGAGGACCAGCAGCCGGAGGCCAGGUAUCUGAGCCAAAGAAGGUCACCCGGGCCACCAGGAGACUGUAAGAAACAAAAGCCAACUGAGAGGCAGCAACCUCAACAGAUGUGAAGACCCGGGCUGCUGGAGCUGGGAGCAGCUAAUAAAAGUCUUCCACAGGACUGGAGACUUGGCUCAGUGGUUAAGAGCACUUGUUGUUCAUAGAAAGGACCCAGGUUCGGUUCCCAGCAUCCACAUGGAGGCUCCCUACCUCCUCACGCACUAGAAAUACAUGUGGUACACAAUAAUACAAUAAUUUGGUGUA